rnacentral:rRNA from 1 species
UGGGGAAUAUUGCACAAUGGGCGCAAGCCUGAUGCAGCCAUGCCGCGUGUAUGAAGAAGGCCUUCGGGUUGUAAAGUACUUUCAGCGGGGAGGAAGGCGAUACGGUUAAUAAGCGUGUCGAUUGACGUUACCCGCAGAAGAAGCACCGGCUAACUCCGUGCCAGCAGCCGCGGUAAUACGGAGGGUGCAAGCGUUAAUCGGAAUUACUGGGCGUAAAGCGCACGCAGGCGGUCUGUCAAGUCGGAUGUGAAAUCCCCGGGCUCAACCUGGGAACUGCAUCCGAAACUGGCAGGCUAGAGUCUUGUAGAGGGGGGUAGAAUUCCAGGUGUAGCGGUGAAAUGCGUAGAGAUCUGGAGGAAUACCGGUGGCGAAGGCGACCCCCUGGACAAAGACUGACGCUCAGGUGCGAAAGCGUGGGGAGCAAACA